GUCCGCCUCCGCUUCUGCAAAGUUGGGGAGAUGCAGCCCUAGCUGGGACUUGGCUUCACUCUGGAGCUGGGCACCGCAUGGAAAAAGAGGACGAAAAGCCUGAGUUCUCAAGCGUACUCAGUACUGGGGGAGACUGAGGUACACACAGUGACUCAGGGAAGAAUGAACAGAGCUUCAAGGAAGGCAACACCUCAACUGUGCCUUGAAGAAUCAGUAGGAAUUUGGCCAGAGCAAUUUUUGUGACUACCACUUCUUCC